UCCUCGGCAGCAGGUAGCGAUGGACCUCCAGCAACAGCGGAACCAGGCACCGGCAGCCAGCACCAGGACGUCUGUGAUGAAGUGGCUGAGAAAUGCCAGAAGCUGUUCCUGGACUUCCUGAAGGAGUUCCAGAGCAGCAAUGGUGAAAUUAAGUACUUGCAGUUAGCUGAGGAGCUGAUUCGUCCUGAGAGAAACACAUUGGUUGUGAGUUUUGCAGACCUGGAGCAAUAUAACCAGCAACUCUCCACCACCAUUCAAGAAGAGUUCUAUAGAGUCUACCCUUAACUGUGUCGCGCCUUAAAGACCUUUGUCAAAGACCGGAAAGAGAUCCCUCUUGCCAAGGAUUUUUAUGUUGCUUUCCAAGACCUACCUACUAGACACAAAAUUCGAGAACUCACCUCAUCCAGAAUCAGUUUGCUCACUCGCAUCAGUGGGCAGGUCGUGCGGACUCACCCUGUUCACCCAGAGCUGGAGAGUGGAACUUUCCUGUGCUUGGACUGUCAGACAGUCAUCAAGGAUGUAGAACAGCAGUUCAAAUACACACAGCCAAAUAUCUGCCGAAAUCCAGUCUGUGCCAACAGGAAGAGAUUCUUGCUGGAUACAAACAAAUCAAGAUUUGUUGAUUUUCAAAAGGUUCGUAUCCAGGAGACUCAAGCUGAGCAUCCCCAAGGAAGCAUUCCCCACAGUUUAGAAGUAAUCUUGAGGACUGAAGCUGGGGAGUCAGCUCAAGCUGGUGACAAGUGUGACUUUACGGGGACGCUGAUUGUUGUGCCUGAUGUCUCUAAGCUUAGUACACUAGGAGCACAUGCAGAAACUAAUUCCCGUGUCAGUGGCACUGAUGGCUAUGAGACAGAAGGCAUUCGGGGACUCCGAGCCCUUGGUGUUAGGGAUCUUUCUUACCGGCUAGUCUUUCUUGCCUGUUGUGUUGCACCAACCAACCCACGUUUUGGUGUGAAAGAGCUCAGAGAUGAAGAACAGACAGCCGAGAGCAUUAAGAACCAAAUGACUGUGAAGGAGUGGGAGAAAGUUUUUGAAAUGAGCCAAGAUAAAAAUCUCUACCACAAUCUUUGUACCAGCCUGUUCCCUACUAUACAUGGCAAUGAUGAGGUAAAGUGAGGUGUCCUGCUGAUGCUCUUUGGUGGUGUUCCAAAGACAACAGGAGAAGGGACCUCUCUUCGAGGAGACAUAAAUGUUUGCAUUGUUGGUGACCCAAGUACAGCUAAGAGUCAGUUUCUCAAGCACGUGGAGGAGUUCAGCCCCAGAGCUGUCUACACCAGUGGCAAAGCAUCCAGUGCUGCUGGCUUAACAGCUGCCAUUGUGAGAGAUGAAGAAUUGCAUGAGUUUGUUAUUGAGGCUGGAGCUUUGAUGCUAGCUGAUAACGGUGUAUGUUGUAUUGAUGAACUCGAUAAGAUGGAUGUGUGGGAUCAAGUUGCCAUUCAUGAAGCUAUGGAACAGCAGACCAUUUCCAUCACUAAAGCAGGAGUGAAGGCUACCCUGAAUGCCAGAACGUCCAUUUUGGCGGCAGCAAACCCAGUCAGUGGACACUAUGACAGGUCCAAGUCACUAAAGCAGAAUAUAAACUUGUCUGCUCCCAUUAUGUCUCAAUUUGAUCUCUUCUUUAUCCUGGUGGAUGAAUGUAACAAUGUUACAGAUUAUGCUAUUGCCAGGUGGAUAGUAGACAUUCAUUCAAGAAUUGAGGAGUCAACUGACUGAGUCUACUCCCUUGAUGACAUCAGGAGAUACCUUCUUUUCGCCAGACAGUUCAAACCCAAGAUUUCCAAAGAGUCAGAGGACUUCAUUGUGGAGUAGUAUAAAUGUCUUUGCCAGAGGAAUGGUUCUGGGGUAGCCAAGUCUUCAUGGAGAAUUACAGUGUGACAGCUUGAGAGCAUGAUCCAUCUCUCUGAAGCGAUGGUCCGCAUGCAUUGCUGUGAUGAGGUCCAGCCAAAACACGUGAAGGAAGCUUUUCGGUUACUAAAUAAGUCAAUCAUCCGUGUGGAAACACCUGAUGUCAAUCUAGACCAAGAAGAGGAGACCCAGAUAGAAGUUGAUGAGGGUCCAGAUGGUGUCAACAGUCAUGCUGACAGUCCUGCCCCUGUGAAUGGAAUCAAUGGCUACAGUGAGGACAUAAAUAAAGAUGCUGUUUCCAAAGCCUCCUUGAGGCUGGGCUUCUCUGAGUACUGCCGAAUCUCUAACCUCAUUGUGCUUCACCUCAGAAAAAUGGAAGAAGAGGAGGAUGAGUCAGCAUUAAAGAGGAGUGAACUUGUUAACUGGUACCUGAAGGAAAUUGAAUCAGAAAUAGACUCAGAAGAGGAACUUAUAAAUAAAAAGAGAAUGAUAGAGAAAGUCAUUCACCGCCUCACACACUACGACCACGUUCUCAUUGAACUCACCCAGGCUGGGCUGAAAGGCUCCACGGAAGGAAGUGAGAGCUAUGAAGAAGAUCCAUACCUGGUAGCUAACCCUAACUACCUGCUCAAAGACUGGGACAUGGAAAGUAACUGACAAGAGUCGAUGAACUGAGAAAAGGGAUCUUCCAGCCUGGAGUCUGGGUGUGGCGCUGCCAGAGAGAAGAAUGCAUUUGUUUUGUUUUUA